rnacentral:rRNA from 1 species
CUCGGAGUUUGUAUCCUGGCUCAGGAUGAACGCUAGCGGCAGGCCUAACACAUGCAAGUCGAGGGGUAGAGUUCUUCGGAACUUGAGACCGGCGCACGGGUGCGUAACGCGUAUGCAAUCUACCUUAUACAGGGGAAUAGCCCAGAGAAAUUUGGAUUAAUGCCCCAUAGUGUUAUAGAAUCGCAUGGUUUUUAUAACUAAAGUUCCAACGGUAUAAGAUGAGCAUGCGU